rnacentral:rRNA from 1 species
UACGUAGGUGGCGAGCGUUGUCCGGAAUUACUGGGUGUAAAGGGCGUGUAGGCGGGAAUGCAAGUCAGAUGUGAAAUACCGGGGCUUAACCUCGGAGCUGCAUCUGAAACUGCGUUUCUUGAGUGUCGGAGAGGAAAGUGGAAUUCCCAGUGUAGCGGUGAAAUGCGUAGAUAUUGGGAGGAACACCAGUGGCGAAGGCGACUUUCUGGACGAUAACUGACGCUGAGGCGCGAAAGCGUGGGGAGCAAACAGG